AAAAGAAAUAGAAGUCAACGAAUGUGUGACAUGGCGAGCACCGAUGAUUAGGGAAUGACAAUUUCGGGAACGAGCUGUCCUGUUUUUGGUCUCGAUUUUUGAAAAAUAAAUUUCCCUCAAAAAUGUGAUUCAUACUAUGAAGUGACUGAUAAUGCGAAAAAUAUGUCUUACAGUGGUGUAGAAUCUUACCUCCAGGGAGGCAUGACGCUGGAGAAGAUGAACGAGGCACACCUCUGUAAUCAUCCGCUCGGAGGUGAAACGCCGUCAUCUUUGUCUUCUUCUGUCUGACCUCGGUGACCUCAAGAGAUGAUCUGAUGCCAUGAAAGAAAACCCCAAAGGAGCAAAGUCGUACGAUGUGUGGAGAACAUAACACCUGCAUACUGGGCAGUGAUCAAACACAGAACGUUUGCCUCAAGCAAGUCACUGAUACUCAACGUUGUGCAGAUCGGCGGCUCUAUUGAGAGGGUGGUGUCAAAUUUAGCAGCUCACCUUUUGGAUUUUAACCAUAAAAUAACAUUUGCCAUUUUUGCGUAAAAUGACUAAAUGGAUUUAUUGUCGCUUUAAUGAGCACCGCAAAUGGGCUGUGCAAUUUAGAAUUAUAACACAACAGUACAGAGAACCAAUUUUUGUGGUGUGACGUUUGUGAAUUCACCUUUUCACCCAUUUUUUAAUUUUAUUAAAACAUUUUUAGGAAA